GAAUGUAAUUUUAUUAAAAUCUGGCUUAAAGAGUCUAACGCAUUAUUAAUUUGGGGAAGGCCGUGAAAUUCGCCAAACGGCCUCCCGAAUUUGAAGUAUUUUCAUUUAACAAUUAUUGAGGGCCCCGCACUUUGGCCAGGCUCGUUUCAUCAUUUUAGCCAACCUAAAAGUGACUACAAUUGUCUAUUUUAUUUGUAUCUACAACAAAAGAAAAUAAAAGCUCUAACAAAUUAUUAUUAAAAGAAUAUCUAACGACUAACAAUUAAUUACUAACAUGUCUAUUCCUACUAGUCUUGGGCCUAAAAGAGCCCAGUCCAUGAGAAAUGUGUGCUGGAGCCUCCGAAAUCACUUGCGAUGACCAGGAGCAAUCGAAAUCUUCCUAGGCUCGAAGCAAGCCCAAUAUCAACAAAUGCGACCCAGAGGAGGAGGUCCAAAAUUCACGUUCAAGCAAACAAACUCGACAAAUAAAGGGAAUGUAUUGACGACUGAUUGGGCAUCCAUUAACACAAAUUAAAAUGAACAGAUUUAAGUCUAGUGGGAUUAUUUCUUCAUUUCACUUUUAGUUACCAAUACAUAAACAAAAUUGUGAAUCAACUUGCUAAAGCAUGAAACUGGCGUGUUAUUAAACUCUCUUCUAAAUUAACUGCACUAUUUCACUGAUUGCCUCUCAAUUAACACCAAACGGCCCAAAUGGAAAUCCUUGGGAUCAAAUGACCAUUGUAAAGCCAUGAUCCCAAAGACAACUCUUCUAAAGCAAACAAUGGAUCACAUGGGAGGAAUACCACAAUACCUUUUAAUUCAACCAAUUACAGUUAUUUUCUAAUAGAACUUGUUACUCAGCUCAGCAGAAUCGUCCUAAAAUUAACGUCUAAAGGAAUUGGAGGUUAAAUAUAACAAACUUCGUAUAUAACCCACUACUACUAAUGAGCAUCCUACUUUUGACUAUUAAUACAUGAAUUCGUUAAACUAUGCAAUAUAAGAAUCAAACCAACUAAGACCGUUCAAUCAGCCCAAUAGUCUGUUCAAAUUAUACAAAUCAUACUAUAUUAGCUAACCUUCAUGCCAUUAACAAUAUAAAUUCAUUCUAGUUUGAAACAAUUCCUAAUUUAACUACAAAUAACAAGGCUAAAACAGACAGAAACACUGGGAUAUCAUCAUCACAAAUAUGGCUUCUAUUUAUUCAACAGCACUGAUAUGUCGACAGGGCUCGAAGUUUGUACAUGGAGAUUGAAAUUCAAGUAGAAGAAGAGGAGACAAGCUAAGUAAUGCAGCAGUAGCAGCAACAGCUAGUUUCCAGCAAUAUGAAUGACUACUAGCCCAGUAAUAAAGGCCAAACAGCCCAGAAGUAUUCAAAUCAAGCAGAAUUUAACAAAUCCACUCCAACACAGCAACAAGUCAAACCAGAAGUGAGCACUAAUGCACAGAUAGCCAGUAAAACUCCCAAACUGGAUUCAAACCAACAAUUGCACUCGAAAUAACCAGAAUAGCUUAAAAUUGAACUCUGAACAGUGUGAAUCAAUAUUCAGAAGCUGAAAUCAACUUCCAAACUCAAUGAAACAGAAACUUUUUUGAUUUUUAGCUUUUGUUUGUUUUUGGUUUUUCUGUAGAAAACUGAUAUCUAGGAUGAGAUUUUUGAAAAAUUCUAAUUUGGAACUUGAAAUAGCAGAUCAGUUGCAAUAGGAAGCUCGUUUUGGAUUUUUUGGCGGAAAAAAGAGACCCUUAACAAGGCAAUUGUGAGGCCUUUUAUAGGCACCAAACAGAUUUUCCUUUUCCUUUUAGUCCUCAGUCAUUUUACCUGAAAUGUACUUUAGAACCCACACCUAAAAACUUCUAGAAAAUUUUAGCAAGAUUUCUCAUGUGCAUUUUCUAUUCUGCCCUUACCCUUUUCCUGAAUUACUCCACUGUUUAACUAACCCAAAUCCACUAUUAGCCUAAAUUAACCGGAGGUCUAGGAACUUAAUAGCUAACCAGUUCUUAACGACUACUUCAAAGAAAACAGCACAUGAAGAGAAAUCAUGAAAAUGUCAUUAUUGAUAUAAUUAACAUAAUCAGAUAAUAAACCCAAACGGACUUACUAAACUAAAUCAAUUACUGAAUCAAGCAGAAGUAACUUACAUUAGUACCCAAAUGCACUUACUAAAGAAAGUUCAAACAAACAAAUGACUACCAGAAUCAUAAUUGAAACCUAUGCUUACGAGUCAUGAUUUACCAAAAGGAAUGAAAGAAAUUCAACUUAUUAGCAAAAACACACAAACAUUAAAACUGAAAAAUUAAGAAAACAGACAAACAAAAUUAAAUUAUUCAUUUACAAAUUUAACAAUUAACACUAAGCAAAUUUAAAGCUAAACAAUCAUGAAAAACUAAUUUAACACCAAGAAAAGAAAAGGAAAUCAAAACUUACCGACCCAACUCCAAGAAACCGUUUAAUUUUAAAAGGUUCAAACUCGGCCACAUCUUGGUGAAAAUUGGACUCUCCUGAUAGCAGAAUCAUAAUGGGAAAGGCAUAAGGAUCCACCGGUAACAUUUUAGGGCGAUUUGGCAAGACUAGGGUUUUGGCCGGAAAAUUUCUUUUAAAGAUUCGAGCAAUUGCGGCUAUAUUCGAGACAUGUGGUUAUGGGGGUUGGGUAGAGGAGGCUCAGACGAUCCUAGGGUGUUAAUUUGGUGCCAUUUGGGAUUGGUAGUGUCAUGUCCAGAAAACUUUCAACAAAGAUUCGAAGAAUUGGGAUGAGUUUUGAAGGGAAGUGUUUGUAGAUUUGAGAGGGGGGAGAAGAGAGGAUCACAAGGUGUUAAUUUAGUGGCCGUUGACGUGGGUGACGUUCACCGCCAGCGGCUCUACAGAUGGAGUUACAGAUAGAUACGAGGAAGGAGAUAGAAUGUUUUUUUAGGGUUAAAACAAUCUCGGACAAUUUAUGUAAAAAUGAGGGGGAGUUUCCGGCCAUUGGAUUAAAAUGAUUAAGGGCCCGAAUUGACAGACGCCCAAACAACUUCGUUUUAGGAGAGGUUUUGGACCAGAUAAACCACUCAUGUUUAAGGUUAGUGUUUAUUACAUUUAAGUAUACCAUGUUUCAAUUUAUGUACCAAAAUUUACUUUUAAGGUUUAAUUAUCAAUGAUUUNNNNNNNNNNNNNNNNNNNNNNNNNNNNNNNNNNNNNNNNNNNNNNNGGUUUAAUUAUCAAUGAUUUAUUAGGGGCUUGAUUUGUGGAACAAAAUAUUUCCAUAUUUUCUUUCCCCACUUUUUUCUCUUUCUUCCAACCGAUUUAUACCCUUAUUAAUUACCCCCACGUUUAUUUUUGUCGAUUUUUCUCUUUCUUCCCAAACCGAUCAGCUUUCCCAAUAAAAACUACACCCACCCCCCACCCCCACGUUUAUUUACAUUUACCUUUACCGAUUUCUCUGGUCUCACUUCUU
rnacentral:lncRNA from 1 species